rnacentral:rRNA from 1 species
AACGAACGCUGGCGGCGCGUCUUAAGCAUGCAAGUCGAACGGCAAGAGAGGAGCUUGCUUCUCUCCUAGAGUGGCGGACUGGUGAGGAACACGUGGGUAAUCUACCCUUAAGAUGGGGAUAGCUGCUAGAAAUAGCAGGUAAUACCGAAUACACUCGGCAUAUCACAAGAGGUGUUGAGGAAAGGAAGCUACGGCUUCGCUUGAGGAUGAGCUUGCGUCCCAUUAGCUAGUUGGUGGGGUAAAGGCCCACCAAGGCGACGAUGGGUAUCCGGCCUGAGAGGGUGAACGGACACAUUGGGACUGAGAUACGGCCCAAACUCCUACGGGAGGCAGCAGCUAAGAAUAUUCCGCAAUGGACGGAAGUCUGACGGAGCGACGCCGCGUGGAUGAAGAAGGCUGAAAAGUUGUAAAAUCCUUUUGUUGAUGAAGAAUAAGGGUGAGAGGGAAUGCUCAUCUGAUGACGGUAAUCGACGAAUAAGCCCCGGCUAAUUACGUG